rnacentral:lncRNA from 1 species
GCUUCCGGCCUAGGGUUACCGGACCGGUUCCGACUCCUGAUCCGACCGUUUGGAAGACGUUCAGGGAAAGAAUUUACUUAGUUGGUAUCGCCAGCGUCUCAUCCAGCUUGAUGACCACCGAGAUGGAAAAAGAACUCCACGACCCAGAGCCGGGAAGUGUAAGAGACCGCGGAGGGCGGCUGAUGUCACUUCUGUUUUCUUCCACCACAGUGUCCUCCGGCUUCGGGCGCUUCAGUUUACCGACGGAGUUUACGUUUUUCUACCCCAAGAGUGGUUUUACUCCAGUCGAUUUAAAAACUCUGCAGCCUGGCCACUAGCCUUGUUUAAGGCGACAACCAGAACAACGACAAGGAUCGUGCCCGGACUGUGUGGAUAUGGGACAGACCUUUCAGAGCGUACGUGUCACCCAGUGUUGGCUCUUGUUAGGUUUGUGAGCCCUGAUGCACCCACUUAAGUAUCUAAGUACUUGUGCCUCUAGUCACAGAAUUAGUCGAGAAACACGUCAUUAGAUGUAUUACAGUUUAUUACAAAAAAGAAAGUAGGGUGGAUGAGAUGGCUCAGAGGAUAAAGGAGCUUGCCUCCAAAUCUGAUAUAUCAACCUCAGUUCAAGACCCAGCGUGCCAAACCCCCACAGGUUGUCCUGUAGCCGUCACAUGACCACCCACGCUUUCAACCACAUUAUACAAAAUAAUAAUAGCUAAAGGAAAAUUGAGGCCAGGCUUAGUGAUCCACACCUUUAAUUCCAAAGUUUGCGGGAAUCAAAAGCAGCCUGAGUUGAGCCCAGCUGGGUCUACAUAGAUAGUUUCAAACUAGUCAGGGAUAUAGGGUCACAUACACACAGACACACAAACACACACACGAGAAAGAAAGGAAGAGAGCCUAGAAAAAUGAAGUCUGAUCCAAAAGCGCAGGCCAAGAGCCCUAUGGCCCUUAACAUGACAUAUUUAUGGUACCUGCUUUUCCUAAGCUGCUUGUGAGGGCUUCUUUUGAGUAUGCUUCAUAUAUGUUAUAUAAAGAACCAUGAGGAAGUCUUUUUCUGCC